rnacentral:rRNA from 1 species
ACGCACGCUGGCGGCGUGCUUCACCCAUGCCAGUCGCACGGAAAGGCCCUGCUUUUGUGGGGUGCUCGAGUGGCGAACGGGUGAGUAACACGCGAGUAACCUGCCCUUGACUUUGGGAUAACUUCAGGAAACUGGGGCUAAUACCGGAUAGGAGCUCCUGCUGCAUGGUGGGGGUUGGAAAGUUUCGGCGGUUGGGGAUGGACUCGCGGCUUAUCAGCUUGUUGGUGGGGUAGUGGCUUACCAAGGCUUUGACGGGUAGCCGGCCUGAGAGGGUGACCGGCCACAUUGGGACUGAGAUACGGCCCAGACUCCUACGGGAGGCAGCAGUGGGGAAUAUUGCACAAUGGGCGGAAGCCUGAUGCAGCAACGCCGCGUGCGGGAUGACGGCCUUCGGGCUGUAAACCGCUUUCGCCUGUGACGAAGCGUGAGUGACGGUAAUGGGUAAAGAAGCACCGGCUAACUACGUG